UGUGGGUGUCUGCUGAUCAUUUUCCUUAGUGAAAUUACCAUUCGGUCCUUGAACUUUCCCCUGACUGCUUCAUUCAUUCAUUCAUUCCCCAGUCCCCCUCCCAAAAUCCAGGAAUCGCUCCCUAUCUUCUGCAUCUGUGCUCACACAAUGUCUAAGAAAAAGCUCUGCAUGCCCCUUUCAACCCUUCUGAGACGCAGUUUAACUUCAUUUCCCCAACACUUCACUUCCAAUUUCUCUCCUCAGAUCAAACUCUGUCUUCAUCACUCAUCACCAACCUUUGCACCCCCUUCUCAUAACCCCGCCUGCGAUUACUAUUAUUCUCUCAGAUUUUUCGGGAAAAGCCUAUGCUCGAAAUCUGCUGAGGAAAUCCAACGUGGAUGCUGGAAUUGCCACACUGUCCCUCACUCGGAACCUUUCCUCGUUUGCGAGUUGUGCCAGUGCAUUCAGCCCGUGGAUAGCUCCAUUGACUAUUUUGACAUAUUUGGGGUGGAGAGGAAGUAUGACAUAGAGGGUGAGAAUUUGGAGGGCAAGUACAAAGAUUGGCAAAAGAAACUGCAUCCUGAUUUAGUACAUUCAAAAUCUCAGAAAGAAAGAGAUUUUGCUGCUGAACAAUCUGCAAGGGUCAUUGAUGCAUACCGUACACUUAGCAAACCUUUGUCAAGAGGAAUUUACUUGCUGAAGCUUUAUGGAGAAGAAGUUGACGAAGAACAGACAAUUUCAGAUCCAGAACUACUUGCAGAGAUUUUGGAAAUCAGGGAAGCAGUUGAAGAAGCAACUAACUCUGAGACUUUGAAUCACAUUCUCUCUGAGAUGCAGGAGAAGCUACAAAAUUGGUCCAAUGCCUUUGGUCUUUCUUUUCAAACCCAAAACUUUGAAGAAGCAAAAAUGGCAAUCAGGAGAAUGACUUACUAUAGUCGUGUAAUUGAUGAAGCUGUAAAGAAGCUUUGAUAUAAGGUGUACCUUUUCUGCCUUUUGUGCUUCAAGAUUUUUUGCAGUAAAAUAAUUCAAACACGGACCUUUUGCUUUGGGGGCAAAAUAGAUCAGUUGGCAGUAUGAAGAAUUUGCCUCACUUAUCCCUAUGAAGUGGCCUAUACGUAAAUCACUAAUUGAUUUGAUCAUGUCUCAAUGGACCUUAUUGCUUCUCUAUGUACAUGAUGGAGUUCACAUUUUGUCACUUAAUGAGGCACAUCCUAAGCAUUCAACCUUUCAGAUCGGCUGCAUGCUACUAAGCAGCACUUGUGUAUUCCUGAAUAUUGUUAUUACGUACUAUUUUCCUAACAAAAGAACUGUAUGAGUAUGACCUUGGAAAUUUUGCUGCACUUGUAUUAUUUGAUACAAUAAAGGUGCAUCAUUGCGGUUAUGAAAUUUGAUGUUCAUAAA